rnacentral:rRNA from 1 species
AAACCUGAGCGUCUUAAACAUGCAGUCAGGGGAAAUUCCGGCUUCGGUUGGGAGAGUAUACUGGCGGACGGGUGAGUAACGCGUAGGCAACCUGCCCUUAUGAGAGGGAUAAUCCGACGAAAGUCGGCCUAAUACCUCAUGAUUCUAGUUUAUCGCAUGGUAGAGUAGACAAAGGUUUGUUUGCGAGAGCAGACGCAUAGGGAUGGGCCUGCGUUCCAUUAGUUAGUUGGUGAGGUAACGGCUCACCAAGACAGCGAUGGAUAGCUGGUUUGAGAGAGUGAUCAGCCACACUGGGACUGAGAUACGGCCCAGACUCCUACGGGAGGCAGCAGUGAGGAAUAUUGCGCAAUGGAGGAAACUCUGACGCAGCAACGCCGCGUGGGGGAUGAAGCUUUAUGGAGUGUAAACCCCUGUAAGCAGGGACGAAAGGUAGAUAAUCGAAAGGUUAUGUACGCGACGGUACCUGCAGAGUAAGCUCCGGCUAACUCCGUGCCAGCAGCCGCGGUAAUACGGGGGGAGCGAGCGUUGUCCGGAAUUACUGGGCGUAAAGGGCGUGUAGGCGGUUUGAUAAGUCAGAUGUUAAAGGUUCCGGCUUAACCGGAGAAGGUCAUUUGAAACUGUCAGGCUGGAGUGCGAGAGAGGGUAGCGGAAUUCCCAGUGUAGCGGUGAAAUGCGUAGAUAUUGGGAAGAACACCAGUAGCGCAGGCGGCUACCUGGCUCGUAACUGACGCUGAGGCGCGAAAGCGUGGGGAGCAAACAGGAUUAGAUACCCUGGUAGUCCACGCUGUAAACGAUGAGCACUAGGUGUUGGUCCCGACUUGUCGGGGUCAGUGCCGCAGUUAACACAUUAAGUGCUCCGCCUGGGGAGUACGAUCGCAAGGUUG